CUUGGAGGGGUGAGGGGCCCUGUUAGUCUGACUUUGAAGAAGACCAGCCUUCCAGACUCGCUUGGUGCCCUGACAGCAGCUUGUGUUUCUUCCUUCAAGAGUCUGCUUAGAGAUAAUAAAGAUCAACACUAUUCCUUAUAACGACACCUCAGUAUCCUGCGAGCUGUACACACCAGAGUUUAUUUAACCACCUUGCUGCUGGCAUGAAAGCCUCAGGAGCCCUGGGCUCCCUCAAUGUUGCCUAGAUCUGACUUUGCCUCAGUGAAAACCACCUCAAAUUCUUUCUUGCACUGAUGGGCAGAUGGGCAGUGUCAGAGGAUCGUGUCAUCUGUCCUGUGGUGCUGGUUGGCUUGGUCAAGUCAGUGUUCAAACUAUCUCCUGCUCUUUCAAGGGGAUCUGGGGCUCUAGAAGAUUAGAGGACUUUGAGAGGUUAGUGACUUGCCCAAGGUCGGCUAGGAAGCAAGACCCAGGAUUCCAACUCAGGUCUGUGUGAUUCCUCUGCAAAAUGGAGAGGUGGAAGGAUGGAUGUCAGGUCUGAUGAAUGGAUGGAUGCCUACAUCAAGAUGCAUGCAUAGAUGGAGAGAUGGCUGGCUACCUGAUGAAUGCUGGACUGUUGUGAGAAUCAAACGAGAUAAUGUAUGCUGAGGCAUGCUGUGAACACUACGUGCUGGGUACAGGAGAAUGGAGGCUCCAGAGUGAAAUUAAUGACACUUUGUCGAUGAAGAUCUUGAUUGUGACCUCUGUGGAAAAUGAGCCAUGAACCAACUAAUGAUAAGUCUACUUUUCUUCCACGUAACAACCACAGGAUAGAUGACAUUCAUUUUCUAAGAAACAAAAUCUUGGCAGUUAGAUCCGUGGGGUAAAGAAUAUAGAUACUAAUAAUGAAAACCAUGUAGCUGGUUUUAUUAUCCUCUAAUCAUGAAGACCAUUAUUGUUAUUUGCGGACUAAGGAGCAGAAAGACUGAUAGUGGACAUAGGCCAGCUGAUUUAAUAAUUUAAGAAAUAACUGUUAUCCUGAGUAAGGAGCAUAGAGACAAAUAUAAAAUGAACGCACUCUACCUGAUUUAAUUAUAGUCUUCUGGUGAAGAUCUUGCUGUUAUCUCUGUGAAUCAGGAGAGAAGAGAUCGAUAAAGAAUAGACGAGAUUGGAUUUGGUCAUUUUCCCAAGGUGAAGAGCAUGGUGAUUUCUUCUGUGGUAAGGAGCAAUAAUGAAGACCAUGGUUGGUUUAAUCAGUCUCUGCUGAUGAAGAUCUUGGCUGUUACCUUUGUGUAUAAGGAAGCUAAAGACAAGUAAAUAACAGUCCAAAAACGUGUCAAUUAGGAAUGAAUGCACAACGAUUCAAUUAUUCUCCAGCGAGGAAGAUCAUG
rnacentral:lncRNA from 1 species